GAGCAGAUGGGGCAUCAUCACAUGCCUCAAGAAGGCAGCAAGCAUUUCCCAGCAGGCUCAAAACCUUCAAAAAGGAUGAAGGGACUUUCAGGUGCACAUUGGGGAGGUGAAAGGAACAGAGUUGCAGUGCAUGACCCAGCAAAGAAAGGACACCAGUGAGACUGAGAGGCAAGAUAUUUUUACUUCGUCCUAAGUGGCACACAGUAGAGCCCUGCAGCAGGACCAGGAUCCCACAGGACCCGCUGCCAUAAUAGCAGGAGCAGGAUUAAAAAUAAUCCCACGCAGGGAUCUAGCAUACAGGAUCUGGUCCAAGAGGUGAAUACAGCUGAACUGCUCUGUAAUAGCGACCAUAAGACUAACACGGUUCCUACUCUGAUUCCGCCAGAAGGGGUUUCUGCAUGUCUGUGGUACUCCAAGAACCGAGCAUGGUGUGAUCUCUGGGCAGUCUGUGACCUGCUGAAACAUUUCUUGUUCAUAGAUGGAUAAAUGCCCAAGGAACGCAAGGUAGCCCUGGAGUUAUUCAGGGCGUGAAGGGAGUCAUUCAUCGUCUCUGAGAAAAGCUUAGACUAAAGGGGAGGUCCUCUACAGUGUUCUGAAUCCCUCAGAAACUCUGAAAAUUGAAACCAAGAUGCCCAGAGCACAGUUACUGCCAUGGAUCUGGAAGCAGUGUCCACAGCAGCUAGGGAUGCCUGGAGAGAUGUUCGGGCCAAUAGCUGACCCUCCGCAAAUAUGGACUGGAAUUGCUUCCUGCAGUUGUGUGGCUGCUGUUCCAUAAAAGCCAUGAGCUGCUUGUAAUUAGGGCUAGUCUACACUCGAAGCACAUCAUCAGUGCAGCCAUGCCACUGUAGCGCGUCUGGUGAAGAUGUUCUAUGCGGAUGGGAGAAAGCUCUCCCGUUGGCAUAAUAAAUCCACCUCCAUGAGAGGUGGUAGCUAUGUCGGCAGGCAUAUAGCACUGUCCAUACCAGUGCUUAGGUCAGUGAAACAUGUGUCGCUCGGGGAUUGGGGCGGUGGCUUAUUCACAGACUUAAGAUAUGGGGAAGUAAGUGGUAGUGUAGACCUGACCUCAGUAGUGUAUAUUUGGCUAUGACAGCCUGAUCGUGAUCUGGAAUUGCACAGUUCUGAACUAGUAACAUUUUCGUCCAAAGACAUUCAGUUGCUUUUGGUCCUUGAUGUAGGGGGUAGUUCUCAAAAUGUCCUGCCUACUCUGUUCAUUCACGACUACGGAGUUAGGUGGGGGAUAGGAAAAUAAAAAGUCAGACUCCUUAAGGAGCAUGUGACACUUAUUUAUCCUUUUGCAUAUUGGUGGAACAGUAGCUGGCAUCUACCAUACCGUCUUAGCUGGAUCCAGGAGAGACUCAUUAAUAGGUAGCACCACUCAGGAGGGUGUUGCCGACUGCAAAAUAUCUAGCAACUUGUGCUGCAGAUCUCUGACCUCCUCCAGAGGGAUCUGUAGGAUGUCAGGUAGCCUUCUAGUGAGGUCCUGAAACUGCCUGAAGUCGUUGGCCAUGGAAGGUGGUGGAGAAAUAACUGCUUCAUCCGGUGAUGAUGAAAUGGGAGUCUCAGAGAUUACUUCCUCAUAUGCCCUAGCCUCCUGCUCUUGAAAUGUCUCCUCCUGUCAUGGAUGGGUAGAGGGAGAAUGUGAAAUCCUGGUCUCUUUGAGGGAUGGUACUGGUGUUCUGUUAAAUUGUUGUCAAUAGGCAGCCCACAGGUCCCAAUAUGGCCACUGUAGGGUCCAUAAGGAAGCAGGGGUGGCAUACAAGGUUGGUUCCACCAUCCUUGAUGACCUGCAAGGUCCUCCCAGCACAAAGGCGGAUUCCUAAAGGGGUAUGUAGGAGAACACCUCGGAAAUAGAGGAGACUGAUUAACAGUCCUCUUACUCCACAUGGGGGCAGCCAAUGAUGUUGGAGGAGAGUCCUGUGACAUGGAAUGGCUACUCAGAGAAUGAGGUUUCAGUACCAAAAGAUGCUUUGUACCUGGUAACAGGGACUCUGGCUCUUCCAACGAUGAGAUGUCCCUCAAGUACUGGAACUCCUAUAGUGCCGAAAGGACACUGGUACCAAUGUCAUAGCUGAGAUCGCCAUAGCUGGAGUCAAUGGUACCAGUGAUGGUGGGCACACUGCAAGCAUUGUAGAUGUCAGGCUUCAAUGCUUGCUCGGUACCGAGGAUACCACUUGUACA